rnacentral:pre_miRNA from 1 species
UUUGAGGGGAAUGUUGUCUGGUGCGAGGCCGCCAUCUCGGAUCACCGAUCUUCGUCUCGCAAGAUCGGUUAUUUAUGUGCUUUUGUUGUUGUGGGUCGGGAUCGCCGCGUACCCAUUUGAGAUGAUGACGUGAUUCGAUCGAUCGGAUCAUGAGCUUGACGACCUCGGACCAGGCUUCAUUCCCCCCAAA